UAGGCGGACGGGGGAGUAAUGUCUGGGAAACUGCCUGAUGGAGGGGGGUAACUACUGGAAACGGUAGCUAAUACCGCAUAACGUCGCAAGACCAAAGAGGGGGACCUUCGGGCCUCUUGCCAUCGGAUGUGCCCAGAUGGGAUUAGCUAGUAGGUGGGGUAAAGGCUCACCUAGGCGACGAUCCCUAGCUGGUCUGAGAGGAUGACCAGCCACACUGGAACUGAGACACGGUCCAA
rnacentral:rRNA from 1 species